rnacentral:rRNA from 1 species
UGACGCUGGCGGAAUGCCCACACAUUGUAAAGUCGAACGGCAGCACGGACUUCGGUCUGGUGGCGAGUGGCGAACGGGUAGAUACAUCGGAACGUGCCCUGGAGUGGGGGAUAACUAGUCGAAAGAUUAGCUAAUACCGCAUACGAUCUACGGAUGAAAGUGGGGGACCGCAAGGCCUCAUGCUCCUGGAGCGGCCGAUGUCUGAUUAGCUAGUUGGUGGGGUAAAAGCCUACCAAGGCGACGAUCAGUAGCUGGUCUGAGAGGACGAUCAGCCACACUGGGACUGAGACACGGCCCAGACUCCUACGGGAGGCAGCAGUGGGGAAUUUUGGACAAUGGGGGCAACCCUGAUCCAGCAAUGCCGCGUGAGUGAAGAAGGCCUUCGGGUUGUCAAGCUCUUUUGUCAGGGAAGAAAC